rnacentral:rRNA from 1 species
AACGAACGCUGGCGGCAGGCUUAACACAUGCAAGUCGAGCGCCCCGCAAGGGGAGCGGCAGACGGGUGAGUAACGCGUGGGAAUCUACCCAUCUCUACGGAAUAACGCAUGGAAACGUGUGCUAAUACCGAAUACGUCCUCCGGGAGAAAGAUUUAUCGGAGAUGGAUGAGCCCGCGUUGGAUUAGUUAGUUGGUGGGGUAAAGGCCUACCAAGGCGACGAUCCAUAGCUGGUCUGAGAGGAGGAUCAGCCACACUGGGACUGAGACACGGCCCAGACUCCUACGGGAGGCAGCAGUGGGGAAUAUUGGACAAUGGGCGCAAGCCUGAUCCAGCCAUGCCGCGUGAGUGAUGAAGGCCCUAGGGUUGUAAAGCGCUUUCACCGGUGAAGAUAAUGACGGUAACCGGAGAAGAAGCCCCGGCUAACUUCGUGCCAGCCGCCGCCGUAAGAC